rnacentral:lncRNA from 1 species
GGCGGAGGAGAGCGGCCACAGUGAGAGCAGCUGCCUCUUCCAGAUGGAAGACUGCGGCCGCUGAUGCUGCUCCCCGAGUCAGGAGACCACCUGUCAGGACCCGGUCCAGGAACAAGCUGGGUGGACUUCCUGGCAAAAUGAAUUGGACCAACUGUAGGUUCCAGAACACCAGAGCCAGCAGCAAUGCCUUCCUGGAUGAACCCAUACCACGGCUCUGCUCCGGUAAGACCAGCUGAAAACCAGCCCGAGGCCAAGGGGCUAUGAUUCACUGUUAAA